rnacentral:misc_RNA from 1 species
UCCUUAUUUCUAAGGCAGUCUCGCUAGAGUGCUCCCGAAGGUUGGCAACUAACGACAGAGGUUGCGCUCGUUAAAGGACUUAACCCAACAUCUCACGACACGAGCUGACGACAGCCAUGCAGCACCUGUUCAUAUGUCUGAGUUACCCCAGAAGAAGACAUCUCUGCCCCUUUCAUAUGUAUGUCAAGCCCAGGUAAGGUUCCUCGCGUAGUGUCGAAUUAAACCACAUGUUCCACCGCUUGUGCGGACCCCCGUCAAUUUCUUUGAGUUUUAGUCUUGCGACCGUACUCCCCAGGCGGAUCACUUAUCGCGUUAGCUACGACACUAAGCUCCUCAAGGGAACCUAACGUCUAGUGAUCAUCGUUUACAGCGUGGACUAC